GCGGGUGUAGUUCAAUGGUAGAACACCAGCUUCCCAAGCUGGCAGCGUGGGUUCGAUUCCCAUCACCCGCUCCA
rnacentral:tRNA from 14 species